AUGGUGCUAUUGGAAAUCAUAUCAGGAAGGAGGAAUUCUUCACCUGAAACAUCAUACGACACUAGCAGCAGCAACAGUAACCAGAAUAUUGAAUACUUCCCUGUGCAAGCCAUCAGCAAGCUUCACGAUGGAGAUUUGAAGAGUUUGGUGGAUCCACGGUUACAUGGUGGCAUCAACUUGGAAGAGGCUGAAAGGGUUUGCAAAGUUGCAUGUUGGUGCAUCCAAGAUAAUGAGCUGGAUCGGCCGACCAUGGGUGAAGUAGUCCGGGUUCUCGAGGGUCUACAGGAGAUUGAUGUGCCCCCAAUACCAAGACUGCUUGCAGCUAUAGCGGAAUAA
rnacentral:rRNA from 1 species